rnacentral:rRNA from 1 species
GUUUGAUCCCGGCUCAGAAUCAACGCUGGCGGCGCGCUUAACACAUGCAAGUCGAACGAGAAAGGGGAGCAAUCCCUGAGUAAAGUGGCGUACGGGUGAGUAACACGUGGAUUAUCUACCUUUUAGUGGGGAAUACCGUUGGGAAACCGACGACAAUACCGCAUAAUCCCGAGAGGGGAAAGCAGCAAUGCGCUGAAAGAGGAGUCCGCGGUCGAUUAGCUAGUUGGUAGGGUAAAAGCCUACCAAGGCUGUGAUCGAUAGCCGGCCUGAGAGGGCACACGGCCACACUGGCACUGAAACACGGGCCAGACUCCUACGGGAGGCAGCAGUGGGGAAUCUUGCACAAUGGGGGAAACCCUAUGCAGCGACGCCGCGUGAGCGAUGAAGCCCUUCGGGGUGUAAAGCUCUUUCGGCAGGGACGAUAAUGACGGUACCUGCAGAAGCAGCUGCGGCUAACUACGUGCCAGCAGCCGCGGUAAUACGUAGGCAGCAAGCGUUGUUCGGAGUUACUGGGCGUAAAGGGUGCGUAGGCGGUCCUAUAAGUAUGGUGUGAAAUCUCCCGGCUUAACUGGGAGGGUGCGCUAUAGACUGUGGGACUAGAGUGUGGGAGAGGAAAGUGGAAUUCCUGGUGUAGCGGUGAAAUGCGUAGAUAUCAGGAGGAACACCGGCGAUGUAAACGGCUUUCUGGACCAUAACUGACGCUGAGGCACGAAAGCGUGGGUAGCAAACAGGAUUAGAUACCCUGGUAGUCCACGCCCUAAACGAUGCAUAUUUGGUGUGGGUCAUUCAGUUGAUCCGUGCCGGAGCUAACGCGUUAAAUAUGCCGCCUGGGGAGUACAGUCGCAAGGCUGAAACUCAAAGGAAUUGACGGGGGCCCGCACAAGCGGUGGAGCAUGUGGUUUAAUUCGACGCAACGCGAAGAACCUUACCUGGGCUCGAAAUGCUAUGGACCAGCUGAUGAAAGUCGGCCUUCCCGCAAGGGACCGUAGUAUAGGUGCUGCAUGGCUGUCGUCAGCUCGUGUCGUGAGAUGUUGGGUUAAGUCCCGCAACGAGCGCAACCCUUGUCCUGUGUUGCCAUACCGAAAGGUGGAACUCGCAGGAGACCGCCAGGGAUAACCUGGAGGAAGGUGGGGAUGACGUCAAGUCCUCAUGGCCUUUAUGUCCAGGGCUACACACGUGCUACAAUGGACGGUACAAAGGGCUGCCAACCCGCGAGGGGGAGCCAAUCCC